AUAAUGCAGUCGACGAACUCUGGUAUUGAUUGGUGCUUGCAUCAUGAUUUACAUUUGAGUGAGUGGCGAACUGGUGAGUAACACGUGGGAAACCUGCCCAGAAGCGGGGGAUAACACCUGGAAACAGAUGCUAAUACCGCAUAACAACUUGGACCGCAUGGUCCGAGUUUGAAAGAUGGCUUCGGCUAUCACUUUUGGAUGGUCCCGCGGCGUAUUAGCUAGAUGGUGGGGUAACGGCUCACCAUGGCAAUGAUACGUAGCCGACCUGAGAGGGUAAUCGGCCACAUUGGGACUGAGACACGGCCCAAACUCCUACGGGAGGCAGCAGUAGGGAAUCUUCCACAAUGGACGAAAGUCUGAUGGAGCAACGCCGCGUGAGUGAAGAAGGGUUUCGGCUCGUAAAACUCUGUUGUUAAAGAAGAACAUAUCUGAGAGUAACUGUUCAGGUAUUGACGGUAUUUAACCAGAAAGCCACGGCUAACUACGUGCCAGCAGCCGCGGUAAUACGUAGGUGGCAAGCGUUGUCCGGAUUUAUUGGGCGUAAAGCGAGCGCAGGCGGUUUUUUAAGUCUGAUGUGAAAGCCUUCGGCUCAACCGAAGAAGUGCAUCGGAAACUGGGAAACUUGAGUGCAGAAGAGGACAGUGGAACUCCAUGUGUAGCGGUGAAAUGCGUAGAUAUAUGGAAGAACACCAGUGGCGAAGGCGGCUGUCUGGUCUGUAACUGACGCUGAGGCUCGAAAGUAUGGGUAGCAAACAGGAUUAGAUACCCUGGUAGUCCAUACCGUAAACGAUGAAUGCUAAGUGUUGGAGGGUUUCCGCCCUUCAGUGCUGCAGCUAACGCAUUAAGCAUUCCGCCUGGGGAGUACGGCCGCAAGGCUGAAACUCAAAGGAAUUGACGGGGGCCCGCACAAGCGGUGGAGCAUGUGGUUUAAUUCGAAGCUACGCGAAGAACCUUACCAGGUCUUGACAUACUAUGCAAAUCUAAGAGAUUAGACGUUCCCUUCGGGGACAUGGAUACAGGUGGUGCAUGGUUGUCGUCAGCUCGUGUCGUGAGAUGUUGGGUUAAGUCCCGCAACGAGCGCAACCCUUAUUAUCAGUUGCCAGCAUUAAGUUGGGCACUCUGGUGAGACUGCCGGUGACAAACCGGAGGAAGGUGGGGAUGACGUCAAAUCAUCAUGCCCCUUAUGACCUGGGCUACACACGUGCUACAAUGGAUGGUACAACGAGUUGCGAACUCGCGAGAGUAAGCUAAUCUCUUAAAGCCAUUCUCAGUUCGGAUUGUAGGCUGCAACUCGCCUACAUGAAGUCGGAAUCGCUAGUAAUCGCGGAUCAGCAUGCCGCGGUGAAUACGUUCCCGGGCCUUGUACACACCGCCCGUCACACCAUGAGAGUUUGUAACACCCAAAGUCGGU
rnacentral:rRNA from 2 species